UACGUAGGCAGCAAGCGUUGUUCGGAAUUACUGGGCGUAAAGCGUGUGUAGGCGGCCCGGUAAGUCCGCUGUGAAAGUCGGGGGCUCAACCCUCGAAUGCCGGUGGAUACUGUCGGGCUAGAGUGCGGAAGAGGCGAGUGGAAUUCCUGGUGUAGCGGUGAAAUGCGCAGAUAUCAGGAGGAACACCAAUUGCGAAGGCAGCUCGCUGGGACGUGACUGACGCUGAGACGCGAAAGCGUGGGGAGUAAACAGG
rnacentral:rRNA from 1 species